ensembl:lncRNA
CCAAGAUGUUCAAAUGUUCAUAAAUGACCAGCAUGGUCGAAUAAUAAUAAGGCAGAACAGUUGAAACUGGAGCAGCAGCACAGUCAGGUGGAAGUUGAAACUGGAGCAGCAGCAUGGCCAGGUGGACUGGGGACAGCAAGGAGUCAUCAUGUCAGGUAGUCCUGGGGCAUGGUCCUAGGGCUCAGGUCAGUUGAAACUGGAACAGCAGCAUGGCCAGGUGGACUGGGGACAGCAAGGAGUCAUCAUGUCAGGUAGUCCUGGAGCUCAGGUCCUAGGGCUCAGGUCCUCCGAGAGAGAGAAAGAAAGAGAGAAGGAGAGAAUUAGAGAACGCACACUUAGAUUCACACAGGACACCGAAUAGGACAGGAGAAGUACUCA